UUUCUUCUUGCAUUUUUACCAUCCACACACCCAAUAUAUUUUUUUUUAAAUACGACAGAUUUUAUUGAUAAUCUCCUAGAUCGAUCACAAGAAGAAAUCGGAAAGAGGGAAAAAGUUACAAGGACACUGUUAAAGCAUGAAAAGGAACGACGACAGAGAACCAACAAAAACACCUAUGGCCAAAGAAAUACAGUAGAGCUUCCCAUCCAAGUCAGAUUCCUCAAGCAACAAGUCAUUAAAACCAUUAGCAACAAGUCACAUAGCAGCAUCAACAAAACAGACUGUUGUUCAAUCGAGAAAAGGUUGUAUUGUAUCUAUCCUCAUGUACUAUUUUUCUCUCAAAUUAUUUCUUCAAUUCAGAGAGUUUGGCCAAAUUAAAAUUUAUUUUAUAGUAAAC
rnacentral:lncRNA from 1 species